rnacentral:rRNA from 1 species
GAUGAACGCUGGCGGCGUGCCUAAUACAUGCAAGUCGAGCGAACGGACGAGAAGCUUGCUUCUCUGAUGUUAACGGCGGACGGGUGAGUAACACGUGGAUAACCUACCUAUAAGCCUGGGAUAACUUCGGGAAACCGUAGCUAAUACCGGAUAAUAUUUUGAACCGCAUGGUUCAAAAGUGAAAGACGGUCUUGCUGUCACUUAUAGAUGGAUCCGCGCUGCAUUAGCUAGUUGGUAAGGUAACGGCUUACCAAGGCAACGAUGCAUAGCCGACCUGAGAGGGUGAUCGGCCACACUGGAACUGAGACACGGUCCAGACUCCUACGGGAGGCAGCAGUAGGGAAUCUUCCGCAAUGGGCGAAAGCCUGACGGAGCAACGCCGCGUGAGUGAUGAAGGUCUUCGGAUCGUAAAACGCUGUUAUUAGGGAAGAACAUAUGUGUAAGUAACUGUGCACAUCUUGACGGUACCUAAUCAGAAAGCCACGGCUAACUACGU